GAUUGGAUGAGAUGAUCUUUGGAGGUCCCUUCCAGCUCCUGACAUUCUGUGAUUCUGUGCAAACUUGGUUCACGGUAGUACUUUUGCUGCUGGGAAAUAGGAGCGCUGAUCUUUGGGAAGUUCCGGAUGCUGUCAGGAGUUAUUCAAGCCCAUUGGUGUUAAUUUGACCCUGGACUGGCUGCUGCUUGACAUGCUGUCUGCACAGAGAUAUUCAGGAGGAGCUGGAGCUAAUGAAACUGUGUGAGGAAGUUGUGAGCUUGAUCGGAUCUAAU